UAUGGCUAUAUCACAUUGAAACAUUGCCUCCCAUACAAUCACUGAAGUUCAGCAACACAGAGCCUGUUCAGUGCCUAGAUGGGUGACCACUUGGAAAUACCAGGUGCUGUAAG